rnacentral:rRNA from 1 species
AACGAACGCUAUCGGUAUGCUUAACACAUGCAAGUCGGACGGACUAAUUAGGGCUUGCUCCAAUUAGUUAGUGGCAGACGGGUGAGUAACACGUGGGAAUCUGCCCAUCAGUACGGAAUAACUUUUAGAAAUAAAAGCUAAUACCGUAUAUUCUCUACAGAGGAAAGAUUUAUCGCUGAUGGAUGAGCCCGCGUCAGAUUAGGUAGUUGGUGAGGUAACGGCUCACCAAGCCGACGAUCUGUAGCUGGUCUGAGAGGAUGAUCAGCCACACUGGGACUGAGACACGGCCCAGACUCCUACGGGAGGCAGCAGUGGGGAAUAUUGGACAAUGGGCGAAAGCCUGAUCCAGCAAUACCGAGUGGGUGAUAAAGGCCCUAGGGUUGUAAAGCUCUUUUAGCAAGGAAGAUAAUGACGUUACUUGCAGAAAAAGCCCCGGCUAACUCCGUG